UUUGACGAAGAACGAAAGCCAGAGAUUCGAAGGGAAUCAUAUACUGCCCUAGUUCUGACCUUAAACUAUGACAGCCAGCGAUGUGGCUGUGUUUCAGAAACGACGCGCCGGACAACUUCCAGGAAACCAGAGUUUUUCGGUUUCUGGGGAAAAUAUGGUUGCAAAGCUGAAACAAAGGAAUUGACAAAAGGGCAUCAUUAGGGUCGGAUCCUGCGGCUCAAAUGGAUUCAAAUGGCAAAUUCUCCUGGUCCGGACAAGCAAGGAUUGACAGAUUAAAAGCUUCUCCUUGAUUCUGUGGGUGGUGUUGCAGGGCCAUUUGUAGUUCGCAGGCAUGGCUUGUAUGGUUAAUUCCAAUAAUGAACGAGAAUCUAUCCUAUUAAAUAAAUAGGACAGAGCUGUGUGUAGCCACUUUUUACUUUGAGGGAAAUUCGGUUUCUACGAGAAAGAGUAAAAAUAGGUCUGGGGUGACCUUAGACAUCUGGGGUCGCAGGCACGAUACAUUGAAUCAAUCAGCGUGUGUUUUCACUGGCCGAGAGGUCCAGGCAACCCUUUCAAAAUCCUUCAUGCUGAUGAUAGGGGAAUGUAACUUGGCCAAGAAC